UCCUGAUCCAAAUUGUCCUACUCAACUAGUCCAGUUCCCUGCUGGGUACUCCAGUAAGAAUUACCAAAAUUUCAAAAAGAAAAAAAAAUAAAGUGUUUAUAAAACUUCAACCAUUUUGAGUUUCUUUAAAAUUUGAAAUGCUAUUUUGUGAUUGGUAUUUAGGUAAGCACUCACUGUUUUAGCUGUAGUUGAGUACUCUGUCACUCAAUUCUUGUUCUCAACUCCUUUUUGUUCUUUCAUGCCAGAUUUGAGCAUCCUCUUCUGAUGGAUGGAAGAGACAAGUGCGAGUGGGUGUUUCCAAUAACUGUGCAUGCACCGCUUCUGAGCACUCCACCAGUUCAUAUACGAAACGAGAAGCCUGUGUCUUUGGAACCCUUGUGGGUUCGUAAUUGAAAAUUUGUCGAUGAAAGCCUAAUACAAAGUUGUGAAAUUGCAUUAUCUGAAGAUAUCCUUUUGGUUGCACGCUACAACCGGAAGUGCAAGCUCCUAAAUUGCUGAUUUACCAUGGAUGCACCUCUAAUUUCAGCGGGUUAACUUUGUUAUUUCCUGUUGAGAUUUGUUAUUCAAAUGCAAAUCGGCAAAUCACAGUGCUUACAAGAGAUGAUGAUGGAAGAACAUAGACACUGCAACAUCAUGUGCUCUGUCCCAUAUCCUAAUCUUCGUAAAAGAUGCUUUCUGUGAUUAGUGAGUGUUGUGCCCUACUCUGAUUCUACCUUCAUUUUGCUGUCCACUGUAUAUUUCUUUGGCCUCGAUGUGUUUUCCUUUACAUUCUAGGAACUGUCUGAAAGUGUUUCCAUUUUGUAUCUGCAAAGGAUCUUCUUUGGUACGAAAAUGAAGCAAUGAUUUUUAUUAGGAGAAAUUGGCAAACGUGUUCGACUUGGACUAGCCCAAUCUAAGCCGAACGCACUUGUUGGUUCUAAAUUGGAUUUUGGCAUGUGAAAUUAUUUUUCAUGGUAUUCUCCUUUCAA